rnacentral:rRNA from 1 species
UACGAAGGGGGCUAGCGUUGUUCGGAAUUACUGGACGUAAAGCGCGCGUAGGCGGUGAUCUUUGUCAGAGGUGAAAUCCUGGAGCUCAACUCCAGAACUGCCUUUGAUACUGAGGAUCUUGAGUUCGGGAGAGGUGAGUGGAACUGCGAGUGUAGAGGUGAAAUUCGUAGAUAUUCGCAAGAACACCAGUGGCGAAGGCGGCUCACUGGCCCGAUACUGACGCUGAGGCACGAAAGCGUGGGGAGCAAACAGG